ACGCGAUAACAUAAUACUGCGCAACAUCUUUCACCCUACAGUCUACAAUACCCUCCCGUCACGCAGUUGUCUGUUACACUGCGAUUCUGCGCUGUAAAUAUAUCUCAAAGCGUUAUAUGUAUGGUACCAUGGAUAAAAGAUGUAAGAUUACCUAAGAAGAUCACUGUCCGACGAGGAUGCAAGAUCUUUUGAGACGAUACAAUCAGUGGACCUGUGAAGAGUCAACUCGUCCCCGCUUCCACUAACCGUACCAGCUCCACUGAUCUCGGAAUCGCUGGACUUCCUACCACCAGCUUCGAGACCUAAUCUUCGAACCCAAUCAACACCUCCAUGAGGUCCAAUUGUUAAGUGAUGACUGUAGUGAUCAGUUCCACCCGAUGCCUCUGACUCAGUCUGAAGCCAUUCCCUUGAACGCCUUCCUACUUGUAAAUAAAAAGAAAUUGUUUUUUAUAUAGUUAGGAAACAUUAAAGAUCUAUUCAACAAAAAA